rnacentral:rRNA from 1 species
UACGUAGGGUGCAAGCGUUGUCCGGAAUUAUUGGGCGUAAAGGGCUCGUAGGCGGUCCAUCGCGUCGGGAGUGAAAAGCUGGGGCUUAACCCCAGUCCUGCUUCCGAUACGGGUGGACUAGAGGUAGGCAGGGGAGAACGGAAUUCCUGGUGUAGCGGUGAAAUGCGCAGAUAUCAGGAGGAACACCGGUGGCGAAGGCGGAUCUCUGGGCCGAUACUGACGCUGAGGAGCGAAAGCGUGGGGAGCGAACAGG